UUUAUAAAAGAUGCGAGAGGUGCGUCUGCUUGUCAUUACGAUAAUCAACACGCUUGCAGCCUGCACGAGAUACUUCAGCACUACGAAAUUGACUUGGUCUCAAGAACAGCACUCGAAAUGAAGUCAAUCACCUUGGUUCUUCUCGUUUGCUUGGGAAUUGUCCUCACUAACGCUGCACCCGCAGAGUCUCCAAACGCGUUGGACGAGAAAGCAGAAGAUCUUCAUACCCGUAUAUCAUGUAACCCGUUUGAGUUGGGCGGGAAUCAGUGCCCACAACCUUUGGUUUGUUCAAUGUAUGGUCGUUGUGAGUGGCAAUAGAUACACACCUGUCGCAAAUACAGGGCGUCGCUCGCCUAUUCGUGAGCACGAGCCUCAGGCAGUGAUGAAUCAGAUGUCGAUGAUGAACGCUCAACUUUCAUUGCUUUGCUUCUGGUAGCGGGAUGCAUGUUUCUGUGUAUUAAUCAAGUAUUUUCACCAAAACGGGGGUUCAAAAUAACGGUUAGUCCGGCAGCCCACGAUGGAAAAUUGUAGUUUGAAUUUUAAUUCCAAUUUAGUGUUGUUCUACAGAUAAAAAGAUUGGUACAUAAUUUGCCAAUUGACACCAGUAGUCUAAUCAUCCGUCAGUAAUGGCCAUGAAGGAGCAAGCAGGGGUUUAUUUUCGAUCAAUUAAACUAAGCAUAUCUGCCGUGUUAAUUGAAAGAAUGAUUCUCCAGAUUCAAGAGGUAACCUGAUUUAUCUGCCCAAUAUUUGACCUUGCCUCAUGCCAGGUUUAAAGGAUCCACGAAAUGAAUUUUUCUCAGAGGCACUUUUUGCGUAUCUCUGCACUCUUUCUUCAACGUAUAAGGACUGUUUGACAUCUCUUUUGAGUUGCAUGAACUGAAAAGUGCAAGUCUUAAGCUUAAAAAUUGACAAAGCAUGUAUGGACAAGUGAGGGCGCUUUUGCUUUGAUGCAAAUCCAGGAAAACCUGGUUCAUGCAUGUUUUGAUGUUCAAAUUGUUUUGUUCAAAUAUGCUCUCAGAAAACAUUUCUGUGAAAAGGUUGUUUGCUGGCUUAUUGCCAUAUACUUGUACUCAACAAUAAAUUGCCAAAGGAAAUUAAAUCUACAACAGCUGAAGAAAUCUAGAAGUUUGCUGUGUACAAAUCAAUGCAGCAUUGAGAUUCAGUGCCUUGGAUGACAUUAUAGAUUUGCUCAUGAAUAUUCAAAGUUCAUU